UGGGGUUGAAUUAUGUGUAAUGGUUUGUCUUUGAUGUUCAUCUAAAUCUAAGAAACCUGGCUGGUCUUGAUUACAAUACUCAGAUGGUGUCAUGGGCUGUGGAUUAAAAGGCUUAACAGAGCAUGGUAAUUGCACAGAUUGAUGUUGGGUUGGUGGCAAUCCUGGAGACGGAGGCUGGGUUAGUGCAGAGGAAGGACCAUGUUCAGCUGGUGCAGAAGCGACCCGAUUCUGGUUAUAAAAUGAUUCAGCAGAUGCAUAAUUUCUUUUUAUGUCCUUCUUUGCACCCUUUCUCGGGUCCUGCUUUUGGUCACAGAACCCAAUGUGAUCUACAGUGGCAUUAUAAAAUUUGUUGUCUGACCAUCUUGCAAGAACUCGAGCUCCUGGAAUGAGUCCCUCAAAGCUAGUAAUUGGCGACUCCUUUUCUGGCAGUGACUGGCUCACUGACUUUUCUUUUUUUGAUUGGGUUACGGAUUCUUUUAGGUAUCUCCAUCACACUGAUCUCUGUUCUGUGGAUAAGACCAAAUUCUCAGUACCAUAAACUAUGCCUAAUAAAAAGAUCUUUGUGGGCUA